rnacentral:rRNA from 1 species
GAUGAACGCUGGCGGCGUGCCUAAUACAUGCAAGUCGAGCGAACAGAUGAGGAGCUUGCUCCUCUGACGUUAGCGGCGGACGGGUGAGUAACACGUGGAUGACCUACCUAUAAGACUGGGAGAACUUCGGGAAACCGGAGCUAAUACCGGAUAAUAUAUUGAACCGCAUGGUUCAAUAGUGAAAGACGGUUUUGCUGUCACUUAUAGAUGGAUCCGCGCCGCAUUAGCUAGUUGGUAAGGUAACGGCUUACCAAGGCAACGAUGCGUAGCCGACCUGAGAGGGUGAUCGGCCACACUGGAACUGAGACACGGUCCAGACUCCUACGGGAGGCAGCAGUAGGGAAUCUUCCGCAAUGGGCGAAAGCCUGACGGAGCAACGCCGCGUGAGUGAUGAAGGUCUUCGGAUCGUAAAACGCUGUUAUUAGGGAAGAACAAAUGUGUAAGUAACUAUGCACGUCUUGACGGUACCUAAUCAGAAAGCCACGGCUAACUACGUG